AAUAAUUGAAGUAUAGCAGAAGAUAUAUUUUUUAAGAAAGGAAGCCUUUGUACAGAUCGCUGGAUCCACAGAAGCACUACUCCAGAGCAGGAAGAUGCCUUAAUCUAACAUAAGCCCAUUUGUGCUACAUCGACUGACUGCUACAAAAGUGACUCAAUUUUAUUUUGGAAAUAACACUUACCUGUUAUGAGAUGCUACAGUAUGAGCUACCAAAACACAUGUUAACGUGGCAGAUGUAUUUUUUUGACACCUGAGUUCUGUUGUUAGAGUCGUUUCUUUGUAUCCAUAUAAAUUUUCACUCCAACAAGCUGAGAAGUUGUCUUAAGUGAAGUACAUGUAGGGCAGUGUGGUGGCUGAAGGUGAUUGAUAAUAUCCACUUACUGUUGCUUGUACUGUGUAAGGAAAAGAAAAUAACUUUUUUUUAUUGGGUGUUUGCUAAUUUAUAAUUACUGUUUUAUACUUUUCGACAUUUUUAAUAAUAAAGUUUUUUUAUUGUUGGCUAUAAAAUAACACUCAGAAAGAUUCAGAUAUCUAAAUAUAGUUAUUUAAAACAUGGAGCACAUUUGUAUAAUUCAUUGAGGGCUUAGUUCUAAGCAUUAAUACAACCAUGUAAUGUAGUGUUGUGCCCAAGGCUUAAGUAGAAAUAUUUUUGGUUUUCUCUGCUUUCAAAUUCCUUUUUUGUUGAACUUUCAUGGGUAUUUUUAUGGGCAGGGAAAACACAAAGGCACAUGUGCUAUAGGAAUAUUGGACACAGAAUAGUGGCAGUGGCUAGGAGAAAAGUAAAGAGGAAGAUGGGCAGGUUUUGUAAGCUGUUAAAAAUUACUUGUCAUCCUAAGGUAUUUAGGAUACACAUGCUGUUGACUUUCAAAUGUCAGUUUAGGUGAUUACUAACAAUUGCUUGGAAACUUUUUACAGCGAUCCUAUAAAGCUUAAACGGUGACUUAAAAUGCAAUUUGAACUAGAAUAAAACUGCUUAGCAUAAUUCUACCUUCAGGAGAGAAAUUCUAACCUGAGUAGUCCAUUUAAAACUUCCAGUCUGUGAGCAGUGGAUUCCACUAUUCGUGCCAAUUUUGAAAUCUGACUUCCUUUGGAAAUCCCUUUCCUUUGGAAAUCCAGUCUAAGCGACAGGGAUUGUUGAAUUAAUUCUAAGGGAAAAUACUGUACCCUGUGAAGGAGAAACAACAUAGAAAUGUUACCUCAUUUGUCCUGUUUAGUCCUAUGUGCACACACAAACCAAAAUGAUUGAUUGCUUCCAGUAUUGGAUAGAGCUGAAUCUUAACCAGCAUCUGUAAAUAUUGACCAUUACAGUUUAUCUCUCUGUAAAAUAGGAUUGGAGGAAGGGGUAUUAUGCAUGAGUUAGACUGGAUGACCUCUCACAUUCUUUGACUCCUAAUUUUGCAAAAUUAGCCUUAUAUUUCAUUCAUCCACCAAGUAUUUUGGAGGUACCUUCUGUAUGCCAAACAUACGCUGUAGGGAUAGCUCUGUAAUUUCCUAAUGUAGCAUAAAUUUUUAGUCAGCUGUUCCAGAUCUUCAGUUUAUAGGAUUUGUCUAAUUCCAUUGGCUAUGCUAAUAUUAGAUUUUAAUAGGAAGUAAUGUUUUCUCCCUUUGAACCAAAGGAAUGAGUUACUUUGAAAAUACAGUUUGGAAUACUAUUACAAUGGUUCCUAUACCUUUAUUUGAACUUUGUAGUCCUAAUACUCUUGACUCUAGAAGACUUUUAAGUAUGCGAGUUAAGGGAGUUAAAAAAAUCACUUCACUUUGGCGGUUUAUGUAUUGUAAGGAGAUUGUGAACGUUUAAACUUACCUGACUACUUUCAGAAAUGUUCUCCCGGUACUUUUUGUGAGUAUUUCUACAUUUAGAUCACAGGAUUUGCAUGCACCUGAUUAACAGUUGAGGAAACAUAGUCUUUCCCCUUUAACCUAUUCAGGCACUUUUGUGGUGACGUAAUCUUUCUCUUUUAAGUUUUAUUUAACGUCAUCUUUAAUAGUAGAGCAAACACCUUUUCAAAAGUUUUCACUUAAAGCCUUUGCCUGAGUUACCUUUGGUUUAAUUUAUGGCCAGCACUUUGCCACAUUCUAGAUACUUGGCUGAUUUAUUCAUACAUGUUAAUGGUCAUUCAGCAAGGGCCUACAAAUGGCCUGGGAGUCACGGCAAGGUUGCCUCUUUGGUGUUUCGACUGGUAUUGAUUGAUUAGUGCUAUCAACUCUUUAGGGGCAAAGGUCAAAAUGAAGGCCUGUCGAAAUCUAUUAGUACUCUAUCUUUGGUCCUUCGAACGCUUUGAUAUAUUUAAGGAAAAUAAAGUUGGAUUUCAGGUCCUGCCAUUGCCAUUAAAGACAAAUUCCACCAGGAGUCUUGGUUUUGCCUGGGUACAGAUUUACUUGAAUGUUCGGUACCUGAGGCGUCUGACCGGUAUCAUUAUGCCAAACCAAAGAGCAGCUGCACUACAGUAGUUCUGAAACAUGAACAUGUUUACAGAGUUCAGUUCCAUUUUUACAUGUGGAUGAUUUUUUAAAACCUUGUUGCGUAUUGAAUGAUUUUCAUCCAAUGUGUCAUAAGCGAAUUUAACUGUAAGGUUAGUUUAAAUCAAAUAUGCAAUGUUUACUUGAAUUUUACUUCUUUUAGAAAGAUUUUGACUAUGUUUACAGGAUCGUUUAAAGUAAAGAUUAUCCGACAUGUGAGAUGUCCAUUCGUUAAUCUUUAAAGCAAAUGUAUAUUAAGGGCUUAGGAUCUGUAUAUUGGGGGCACUGAAUAGACAGUGACUUACAAAUAUGUUUUGCUUACAUUUUGUUCUAGGACUAGCACUGCUAUCAAUGGAAACUAUUUUUAACUAAUCUGUUAUUAAGAAAUUAAUCGUAUUUUUGCAUUUCAGCCAAAAUAAAGACCAUAUCUGAUCAUUUGCAAGGCACAGGUGAUGUGUACACCUGAAAUCCACAUGUUUCAUAUGAUCUGAACUGUAUUUUCCAAUCUAAGUUACAAAUGCAAUAUAGAUUCAGAAAGGUCCAUAUUUUUCUAAUGACUUCACUUGCUAUUACUUUGUUGGGUUGCAUAAAGGAGGAAGGAAUUGUAUUUGUAUUAAAAGAUUACGAAAGCUAUUAGUCAAGUUUAUUAUAUUUGUACAUGAUUGCAAAUGAAGCUAUAUGCCCAUUUGAAAGAAAAGAUGGAUACUAUUUUAAAAUGGUCUUUAAUAUGUUUUUAUAGAAACAAAUUUGAAAUACAGUUUAUUUUGGUUGUCUUUACUUAUCAAGUACCGUAAGUCCUGUAUUUGUUUCUCAUAAGUAUAAUCCUGGACCAUGACUUAAUGUUAGCUCUGCUUUGUCUUUUGGAUGGCCUAACCUACAUUAACAUGAAGGCUGAACAUUUUUAAACUUUUUUUUUUCAAAAAUCAUUAUAUUUACCUUAUUAAUAAAUAAAAAUAAAGUCUUGUAUUUGAACAGAUUUUUGUUGUUAUAAAGUGGUAUAUAUCAAAUGAGAGAAUAACUGUUAUUUUGAUCCUUUUGGAAAUUUGGUAAAAUAGUGUUUAGUUAGAGAAGUAGCUAAUAAUUUGCGCUAACCACAUCUGAGACAGGUGCUAUUUGAGUGCAAACGUAUUGUAGUUUAUGUAGGCCAGAGAUUGCUUAUUCAGAACGUUUUAAGUUUGCUUUUUCUGAACAUGUUAACUUUCAAUUCAAAAGUCACUUUAGGAUUGUAAGUACCUUGGAAACCCUGUAAAAGUUGAACUGUGGUUGUCAGAAUGCUGAAUAAUGGGUUUUAUCUUGUGUAGAAUUCUUUCUGACAUUUGUAUUCUCAUUCCUUUCCAAAUCAGCGGUUUUGUUAUUUGAGGCUGCUGGAUAAAACAGGAAGGUUCUGAGAGCCGUGAUUCCAAUUUUUAGACUAGCAAAAUUUCAAAACGUUUGCAAGAACCAGUAGAGAUGCAGCAGCCUUUUCUGUUUUAAUUGGCGGGACGGCAGGGGGGGUGGUAAUUUAGAGCACCGUGUUUGAGGUAGGAAGGAGGACAGACUACUAACUGGUCAAGAGGCCAUUGUGACACCAAGAGCAGUAGUGACAUCACAUCGGCCUUACUUUUCUCACUUCUCGUAAGUUAGCUUUUCGGAACCAUUCUGGAAAAGACGUUGGCCUCUUUUACCUGUUUUAUACUCAGGUACUCCAGAAUCUGGAGGGAUGAAAACUAACAUUUAGUCUUUUGCGUGUAACAGGUUUUUAUGAAUGUUUUAACAGCUCUGUGAAGUUAGCCUCAUUUUCUUGAACCCCUGCAUAUCUGUGCCUUCCAUUUGAUAAAGAGGAUUUAAGGUUCCUUAACCCCCCUCCUGCUGUUCUUCCGGCAAGAAUGUCACCACCUGUCAGCCCAUUCUCCAUACAAGAGACCACGAUGAAGGCAUUUGAAGAAGAGGCCACGUGUAGCUAUUUUCAUCAAAACUAAAGUGUCUCCACUGGAACGAUCUUGAAGACAUUACGUGCAAUCAUCAAAUCGCAGCGCUCUGCCCACGUGGUGAGAUCCCACCUAGAGGCUUCAAAGUACCUGUUGUGCCCCUGUGGGUUCAAACUCCGCCUACUUGUGGAGCACCUGCUCCAGAGGAUGGGUGAGUGCUGGGACCAGGGGGAGUCCGGGGCUGACUCGGGUGGGGUCGCAGCUGCCCCUGCCCUCUGGCUGCCGCCGGAGACAUACGGGGACCCCAGGACCCACACGCUGGGAUGGCAGGGGAAGCUCCCAGGCCCGAAUCUGCCGGGGUGCCGGCAGGCAGAGCGGGCCCCCGGGCGUUCUCGGUGCCAGGCAUGAACAGUACCUCAUGUGGCUGCCCGGAAGGGACGACCGCCUGUUGGGAAGGUUUGCCAACGACAAACCUGUGUAUACAGGGUGGGCAAGCUGCGGUAACACUUUGCUCCGCCUUUUACAAUAAACCUCAAGCCCCUGUUUGCAAUCUGUAGCCUUUCUCGAUGCAGAGAAGCUGUCGACGUAUGCUGGAAGUCCAGUUAGAAAAACGACUUGUUUUGCGAUCGUCUUUCUGUUAAAAUUCACUCAAGAGACACAUCAUCCGGAAACGACUCGCGGAAAUGCAAUCUCCGCAUCGCUUCUUGGAUUCAGGUCCACGCUUGUUUCCAGAGUUCGAGGGAAGGAGAGAAGACAGUGAGGGAUGGGGAAGGGUUUCCCCAGAAUGUGUUGGAACUGUUGUCCGUACGUGCAUGGUUUUCCAGCGUCCUGCACGUAGUGUGUAUAGUGAUUAAACUUAAGUCCUUAUUUAAAAUAUGUAGCUUUUCUACGUGCUUAGGUGUGCUUGUCGUAUGUUACAUAUGAUAUGCAACAAUAGGGAGAAUAUUUCAAUAGUCUUAGAUUGUCUUUCUAAUAGAAACAGUGAAUCACUCUGAGAAAUAAUUUAGACAUUCGCCCAGUGGGUGGAGGAGAGUGAGGAGGGAAUUAUGCACGUUUACUGUAGUGUCGCUUAUAUGUGGUGUAUAUAACAGAAAAGGGCGUGCUCUAAUUUCAUAUAACAAAUAGGGAGCUAGUAAAUACUUUCGUAUAC